UUCCUGUGAUGAAUCAGUUGCAAAACCAUUUGUAGUUUCCAUCUAAAUCUUGAUUAUGGGAAUAAUAACACCUUGAUUUAACCCUCAGGGA
rnacentral:snoRNA from 1 species